AGUGGGAUAACUGGGUCAAAUGGUGGUUCUAUUCUGAGUUUUCUGAGGAAUCACCAUACUGCUUUCCAGAGUGGCUGUGCUAAUUUGCAGUCCCACCAGCAAU
rnacentral:pre_miRNA from 1 species